UACAGAGGUCUCGAGCGUUAGGCGGAAUCACUGGGCUUAAAGCGUGUGUAGGCGGAUCGGUAAGUACCUUGUGAAAUCCCACAGCUUAACUGUGGAACUGCUUGGUAUACUGCCAGUCUUGAGCCACUUAGGGGCUACCGGAACAAAUGGUGGAGCGGUGAAAUGCGUAGAUAUCAUUUGGAACGCCAAUGGUGAAAACAGCUCGCUGGGGGUGUACUGACACUGAGACACGAAAGCCAGGGGAGCGAACGGG
rnacentral:rRNA from 1 species